rnacentral:rRNA from 1 species
AGAAUAUGUAGUGUAGCGGUGAAAUGCUUAGAGAUUACAUGGAAUACCAAUUGCGAAGGCAGGUUACUCCCGGUGGAUUGACGCUGAUGGACGAAAGCGUGGGUAGCGAACAGGAUUAGAUACCCUGGUAGUCCACACAGUAAACGAUGGAUACUAGCUGUUGGGGGCAACUUCAGUGGAUAAGUGAAAGUUAUAAGUAUCCCACAUGGGGAGUACGGGCGCAAUCCUGAAACUCAAAGGAAUUGACGGCGGCCCGCACAAGCGGUGGAGCAUGUGGUUUAAUUCGAUGAUACGCGAGGAACCUUACCAAGGCUUAAAUGUAGUCUGACCGAUUUGGAAACAGAUCUUUCGCAAGACAGAUUACAAGGUGCUGCAUGGUUGUCGUCAGCUCGUGCCGUGAGGUGUCAGGUUAAGUCCUAUAACGAGCGCAACCCCUGUUGUUAGUUGCCAUCGAGUCAUGUCGGGAAUUCUAAGGAGACUGCCAGUGCAAACUGUGAGGAAGGUGGGGAUGACGUCAAAUCAUCACGGCCCUUACGCCUUGGGCUACACACGUGCUACAAUGGCCGGUACAGAGAGCAGCCACUUCGUGAGGAGGAGCGAAUCUAUAAAGCCGGUCACAGUUCGGAUCGGAGUCUGCAACUCGACUCCGUGAAGCUGAAUC